AUGCAAGUCGAGCGGAGUUGAUGAGGUGCUUGCACCUCUGAUACUUAGCGGCGGACGGGUGAGUAACACGUGGGUAACCUGCCUGUAAGACUGGGAUAACAUUCGGAAACGAAUGCUAAUACCGGAUACGCGAUAUGGUCGCAUGACUGAAUCGGGAAAGAUGGAGCAAUCUAUCACUUAUAGAUGGACCCGCGGCGCAUUAGCUAGUUGGUGAGGUAACGGCUCACCAAGGCGACGAUGCGUAGCCGACCUGAGAGGGUGAUCGGCCACACUGGGACUGAGACACGGCCCAGACUCCUACGGGAGGCAGCAGUAGGGAAUCUUCCGCAAUGGACGAAAGUCUGACGGAGCAACGCCGCGUGAGUGAUGAAGGUUUUCGGAUCGUAAAGCUCUGUUGCCAGGGAAGAAUGCUUGGGAGAGUAACUGCUCCCAAGGUGACGGUACCUGAGAAGAAAGCCCCGGCUAACUACGUGCCAGCAGCCGCGGUAAUACGUAGGGGGCAAGCGUUGUCCGGAAUUAUUGGGCGUAAAGCGCGCGCAGGCGGCCUUGUAAGUCUGUUGUUUAAACUUGGGGCUCAACCCCAAGUCGCAAGGGAAACUGCAAAGCUUGAGUACAGAAGAGGAAAGUGGAAUUCCACGUGUAGCGGUGAAAUGCGUAGAGAUGUGGAGGAACACCAGUGGCGAAAGGCGACUUUCUGGGCUGUAACUGACGCUGAGGCGCGAAAGCGU
rnacentral:rRNA from 2 species